UACGUAGGGUGCGAGCGUUAAUCGGAAUUACUGGGCGUAAAGCGUGCGCAGGCGGUUCUCCAAGUCCGUUGUGAAAUCCCACGGCUCAACCGUGGAAGUGCCCCCGAUACUGCUUGUCUUGAGGGAGAUAGGGGCGUGCGGAACUUCCGGUGGAGCGGUGAAAUGCGUAGAUAUCGGAAGGAACACCGGUGGCGAAAGCGGCGCGCUGGAUCUCUUCUGACGCUGAGGCGCGAAAGCCAGGGGAGCAAACGGG
rnacentral:rRNA from 1 species